rnacentral:lncRNA from 1 species
AAAUUAUAUAUAGAGAAAGUGUUGAAAGGGUUCAGCAUACAGAACUCCAAAGGAGAUUGUUAUCCUUUAGGCAUGGAGUUAAUCUCUUCAAGAUGAUGUGCCCUAGCACACUUAAGAAGAUUGAGUACAUAAGCUCGAUCUCUCAUGCUUUUACAAUAGAGAGCCUCAUGUACACUAUGUACAGGACUAUAUAUACCACUUGUUAUGAGUGUCACGAGCAGAUAUCAGUCAAAUCUAGGUUGGGAGCAUUGG